UGAACGCUGGCGGUAUGCUUAACACAUGCAAGUCGAACGGUAACAGGCAAAGCUUGCUUUGCGCUGACGAGUGGCGGACGGGUGAGUAACGCGUGGGAAUCUGCCUUAUAGUGGGGGAUAGCCCGGAGAAAUCCGGAUUAAUACCGCAUACGCCCUACGGGGGAAAGCUGGGGAUCUUCGGACCUGGCGCUAUUAGAUGAGCCCGCGUUAGAUUAGCUAGUUGGUGGGGUAAAGGCCUACCAAGGCAACGAUCUAUAGCUGGUCUGAGAGGACGAUCAGCCACACUGGGACUGAGACACGGCCCAGACUCCUACGGGAGGCAGCAGUGGGGAAUAUUGCACAAUGGGCGGAAGCCUGAUGCAGCAAUACCGCGUGUGUGAAGAAGGCCUGAGGGUUGUAAAGCACUUUCAAUUGUGAGGAAAAGCUUUUGGUUAAUAACCUUGAGUCUUGACGUUAACAAUACAAGAAGCACCGGCUAACUCC
rnacentral:rRNA from 1 species